rnacentral:lncRNA from 1 species
UCUCAUCUGACCUCCUUCUUCACCUGAGGUUGCUGGCCUCUCUUCCCUGGUUCCCAGGCACUGCUCAUGUGAUUUGCUCUCCUGGGCCCUUCUCCACAUUGAUAGAAGGGAGCUGAGCCAUUGUGGUUGGAUGGUAACCACCAGAACAUAUUUACAGUCCUGCAGAACUUCUAGCACCAUGAAGAGUACAGGCUCUGCAGCCAGCUGCCUGGGUGCUGGCUCAGCUCCUGCUCCAGUUCUGCCCUGGGCAAGUCCAUUGCACUAGCUCUACCUGCCUUCCUCUGUCAAGACUGACUCCUAUGUGGAGAUAUGUUGGCAUGUGGUCUUAAUGAUCUACUAAGGAACAGGCUUAGAAUUCCUUGGUAUGUAAUAAGCAGUCAAAAUUAAAAAUUUUAACUUAUCUUAAUGUUCCUCAUUAGGAGCUCUAGAUCUUGGGAUAGUAAAAUUAAUGGAAGCUAGCUGGGUUCAAAUUCUGACUGAAUGACUCAUUGGGAGCACAAUUUGGAGCACACUAUUAAACUAAGAUCAGCCUAUUAGGCUAUAGGAUUUAUACUACCUAAUUCAUAAUAUACAGUUGUUACAGAAGUAAAUAAUAUAAAUGGAAUUAAGCACUUUGUAUAAUGCCCAGCAUGUAAUAAAUAGGAAUUACUAAACUUCAGUGCAGUGGUUUUUAGACUUCAU